AUUGAGUGAUCGCCCUCUCUUCCUGUCCACGCUGCAUGUUGCAGUUUGUUUAGUUUGACCUGAGGGUCGAAUCCCGGCUGCACAGGUGUGAUCCUCUCUGUCACCGACCCUGAGUGUCAGAGAAACUGCUGAUAAUGAACCUCUGUAACAAGCCAUACAGGGGUCUGAUGCUGGAACUGUGGAUUUGUACUCACCACCAGAUGGGAUAGCCUCCAAGCACCCGCGAGCUGGACAACCACACACACAUCAAAUAUCCAAUCAGAUACAAAUCCAUGAGCGAGUGCAUGAUGAUUUGUUGGAGACUUCUUGGAGUCACGAGGCUGAAGGAGCCUCAGAGUCUCGGUCCUGUGUCCUGGAAGUGGACGAGUAUUGAAGAUGAUAUCAAUGCCUUUGUCAGGACUUUUUAAAACGACGGGACAAAGACGACAAGAACUCUUCCCCCAAAUAAACCUUUUUCAUUAGAGCAGCAAACACUUCAUCCCUCUGCUGGUGUGUGUGUGUUUGUGUGAGUCACUCAGCGAGGUCCCACAUGGAGGAGCCCAAAGCCCCGGCGUUCUUCAGCCGGACACUGAGGCGGCCUAAUUAAAGGGCACUUAAGCCCCACAAUGUGCGGCGGUGCAGGUUGGAGUUGGUGGGGGUCCCCGUCGAGAGGGACAGAAUUCAUGGCACUCGUAAACAAGGGAGUCCAGGACAGAGGGACAGAAGAGGGCUACGUGCCAGAGACUUUGUUCACACAAGAUGAAGAGUCAACAGCCUCCCUAUCCCUCACCCCUCCUCAGCCAUCCCCCCUAAUAACCACCUUCUUCAGAGGAGCUGCGAACACAAUGCCCUCCCACUCCCCUCCUCUUGCGCUCAAUCACUGUUGGGACAAUGAGGAGACCCCCCCCCCUCCACCACCACCACCACCACCACCACCAUCACCCCCCCCAACCCACCACCAUCCUUCUGCCCCUCCCCGACCCCCAAACAGACACUUCUUUUAUUGAAAUUCUUUGGUGUUCUAAUCCUCAGCUUCCUCCAGGGGCAAUAAUGGACUCCCUGCGUCAGCCUUUUCCAGCGGGGCCAUCAUCCGAGCCCGGCUGGGUCACAAGUCCACCUCCGCCACUGGAGAAAAUCUGGCCCGGCACCGUCCAGCUCAUGCACAGGCCAAACCAGUGCCAUUGACCUGAGGAACAUUACAGGCCACUCGUGUUUUAUAUUCUCAAGUAACAUUUGAUUUAAUUUGCUGAAUAUGUUCAGGUACUUUUACUCUUGAGAUUUACAGCAGCAGUUGUAAACAAUUUCCAUAAUUCUCCUUUUUUUGUGUUCAUAUUCUUCAAUUUGAACAGCAAGCAUUUUCAUGUAGCCACACAUUUGGUGGAAAGUGUGACAAACGCUGGUGAAAACAAAUUGUCAGCAAAUGAGCAGAAGUGAAAAAACAAGAAACAAAGACAUUUUUCUGUAUAUUUUCAGUUGUGAGUUGACUGUAUUGAAUUAAUAUUCCUGAGAUUAACCCAUUAUAAUAUAGGAGGAGGAAAAUAUCUAUUGACACAAUAUCAUUUUUUUUUAAACUGCACAUUAUAACUUUCAUGAACAUGGGAGUUAUUACAAGGUUGUUUGGUUAGAUCACAUUAACUUCAGCUAGGUGUAUCUAAUACAUUUGCAGAAGAGCAUAAAUACACAUAAAUAUAGAUAUUAAAAACCUGCAGUUCUACAUGCACAAUUAACUUUAUCCCUGAAAAUAAGGAUUCCGGUGUAAAAUUAAAAGUAGUAAAUGUGAUAAACUGUGGUUCUGUGUGUGUUUCUUCAGUGGUCACAGGGUUAAUUACUGUUGACAAGUAGAAACACACAUUCCUUAUAUCAUUUAUCUCGACUGCAGCUCUGCGCUCGUGUUAGAAUAAACUUCACAGCGUGUGGAUGCUGACACCUGCUGGUGAAACACAACCACACGCUCCUGAUUUGUCAUUCAUGAAACUCUGAACCCUGUUUGGAUGAUGUCACGAGCCUGUGUUGUGAUGACUACAGCUGCAGCCAGUGAUUGAUUCUGAUACUUUGGAGGGUUUAUCACUAAAUAGUCAAUCAUUGUGAUAAAUGCACAACAUGUGGUUCCAGAGUCCAAAGUGAUGCUUUGACAAAUAUUCUUUUUGUGAUCAGCGAUAUGGAAAAGUAAUGAUUUUCUCUUAAAAUUAUACAAAAGGACAAUAACAAGACAAUCUAUGUAUUUAAAUCCUCGUACUGUUCUACUAUAAGGAGCAGAAUGUGGAUCUUCUACUCUUAUACAAUGAAUUUUCACUUUAUAAUGAUAUAAAACAGGAGAAAGCAAAAGAAUAUUUAUGAAAUGUGGAGCUGCUCAUGUUCAAUGAAGUGAAGUUUGUACAUUCGAUAUCAAAUUGUGUUGUGUUUAAUUAAUCAAUUGUGAUUGACUGAUUGGAUUUGAAUGGGUGAAGAUUAAACUGAUGUAAUUCCAACUCAGGGCUGUAACACUGAAGCCCUCAGCCAGGAACACUGAAUUAUUCAAUAUAUCUACUUAAAAAAAUAAUAAACAGCUUUGGAUUUCCUCCAGAUUUUCUUUUAAAGCUGCUGUUGUGGUUUUAUGAGCCAUUAAAGCUGCAUUAGCCGGAGAGUAACGUGCACACUAUCCCUCCAACACACUGUAGAUGUCAAACAAUCA